GCCGAAGAUAGGGAUCAGAGGCAAUCAGAUACGUCGUAGUCUUCUUGAGACUUAGCCGCUAGGGAUUGAGUGGCUCGCACAUUCAGUACCUUAUGAGAAGUCAAAGUUUUGGUUCUGGGGGGAGUAUGUCGCGAGACUGAAACUUGAAGGAAUUGACGGAGGGCACCACCAGGAGUGAGCUGCGGCGUGAUGUGGACUCAACACGGGGAAACUACCAGGUCCAGACAUAGUAAAGGAAUAGACAAGAUUGAUAGCUCUUUCUUGAUUCUAUGGGUGGUGGUGCAUGGCCCGUUCUAGUUGCACCGUGACUGUCUGUUGAUUCCGAUAACGAACGAGACCUUAGCCUGCUAACUAGAUUCGAUCAUCUUAUGGUCGUUAUCUUCUUAGAGGGACUAUGUAACAUAAAUACAUGGAAGUUUGAGGCAAUAACAGGAACAGAGAUGCCCUUAUAUGUCCUGGGCUGCACGCGUGCUACACUGAUGUAUACAACAAGUGCCUAGUCAGACAUGGCAUGGCAAUCUCGAAUAUGCAUCGUGAUGGGGAUAGAUCUUUGCAAUUAUAGAUCUUGAACGAGGAAUUCCUAGUAAGUGCAAGUCAUCAUCUUGCAUUGAUUAUGUCCCUUCCCUUUGUACACGGGGGGCAGAGAAAUCCUACCGAUACCGGGUGAUCCGGUGAACCUUUGGACCUGCAAGGGGAAGAUAAGUAAACCAUAUCACCUAAAAAGAGAAGUCGAACAAGUAUCCGCCCCCUUGCCCAAGC
rnacentral:rRNA from 1 species